AUCGAACGCUGGCGGCAGGCUUAACACAUGCAAGUCGAGCGAGCGGCGGACGGGUGAGUAUUGUCUGGGAAACUGCAUGAUGGAGGGGGAUAACUACUGGAAACGGUAGCUAAUACCGCAUACCAUCAGAUGUGCCCAGAUGGGAUGAGCUAGUCGGUGGGGUAAAGGCCUACCAAGGCGACGAUCUGUAGCGGGUCUGAGAGGAUGAGCCGCCACACUGGUACUGAGACACGGCCCAGACUCCUACGGGAGGCAGCAGUGGGGAAUAUUGGGCAAUGGGGGGAAGCCUGAUCCAGCCAUGCCGCGUGUGUGAAGACGGCCUUAGGGUUGUAAAGCACUUUAAGCGAGGAGGCGUUACUCGCAUAGAAAGCAACGGCUAACUCUGUGCCAGCAGCCGCGGUAAUUC
rnacentral:rRNA from 1 species